rnacentral:rRNA from 1 species
GAUGAACGCUGGCGGCGUGCCUAAUACAUGCAAGUCGAGCGAACAGAUGAGGAGCUUGCUCCUCUGACGUUAGCGGCGGACGGGUGAGUAACACGUGGAUAACCUACCUAUAAGACUGGGAUAACUUCGGGAAACCGGAGCUAAUACCGGAUAAUAUAUUGAACCGCAUGGUUCAAUAGUGAAAGACGGUUUUGCUGUCACUUAUAGAUGGAUCCGCGCCGCAUUAGCUAGUUGGUAAGGUAACGGCUUACCAAGGCAACGAUGCGUAGCCGACCUGAGAGGGUGAUCGGCCACACUGGAACUGAGACACGGUCCAGACUCCUACGGGAGGCAGCAGUAGGGAAUCUUCCGCAAUGGGCGAAAGCUUGACGGAGCAACGCCGCGUGAGUGAUGAAGGUCUUCGGAUCGUAAAACUCUGUUAUUAGGGAAGACCAAAUGUGUAAGUAACUAUGCACGUCUUGACGGUACCUAAUCAGAAAGCCACGGCUAACUACGUG